CUAACACAAGGUUGUGCUCACAAUUUAUGAAAUAUUUUCUAGAAUAUUUGUAAGCAUAAAUGGAAAAAACGACCAUUUUUUGAAAUAUGAAAUGGUAUUACGAGCACUGCUAUGUGGUAGAAAAAUUAAAGUCCUAAAUUCUCGCCGCCCCUGAUUCUUCUCCCCUAAUUCUCAUUUCCAGCCACCGACCAAUUCUCCCGUCUCAUUUCAGUGAUGAUUUACAAACUGCUGGAACAACAGAUUUCAGUGAUCAGCCACCGAUUGAGGAACUACAGAUCUUUUUGUUCUAUUUGCUUCUCCCUUUCAAAUUGAGGUUCUAAUCUCCAUUAUUUAUCUGUAAAUUCAAUUUGCUUACAAUUUUUUUGUUUCCUGCUAAUGCAGGUUUGUUCCUGCUACUAAUGUAUUAAAGCAACAUAAUUCAAUUCUAUGGAUAAUUCGAUCUGAAGUUAAACGUGUUUAUCACAUAUUCUGAGUUGAGUUUGUCUGCCAAAGAAGAUAGCCCACAGCCUGCAGUGGAGCAGUUUUUACAUCUGCACCCUCAUCCCGGUUGCAUCAUCGGCUACCUCUCCAGUUUCAAAGACAAAUACAGGUAACCAACCUGUUAUAGUCCUUGAAACCUCUGCUAAGAAUACUGCAGCAGCUCCAAAAGCGCUUUCAAAACCCCGGUAUUACUUGAACAACUUCAACCAAAUGAAACUGCAUGCUUAGAUAAUAUAGCACUUGUUGUGAAGGGGGUUUACCAUCUGUUGAUAUCGUAUUUGCUCAAUCAACUUUGGUAUUGGUUGUGAUUCUUGACAUAUGAGAACCUGCAAAUACUUGAUUUGUUGAUGAUUUUGAAUGAAGUAUGUGUAGAAGAAGCAUUUGAAGUCUUA